UACAGAGGUCCCAAGCGUUGUUCGGAUUCACUGGGCGUAAAGGGUGUGUAGGCGGCGAGGUAAGUUGCGUGUUAAAUUUCGGGGCUUAACCCCGAAACCGCUCGCAAUACUGCUUUGCUCGAGGACUGUAGAGGAGAAUGGAAUUCACGGUGUAGCAGUGAAAUGCGUAGAUAUCGUGAGGAAGACCAGUGGCGAAGGCGAAUCUCUGGGCAGUUCCUGACGCUGAGACACGAAGGCCAGGGGAGCAAACGGG
rnacentral:rRNA from 1 species